rnacentral:rRNA from 1 species
GACGAACGCUGGCGGCGUGCCUAAUACAUGCAAGUAGAACGCCGAAGCGAGGAUCUUGCUCUUCUUGGAUGAGUUGCGAACGUGUGUGUAACGCGUAUGUAACCUGCCUUUUAUCGGGGUAUAACUAUUGGAAACGAUAGCUAAUACCGCAUAACAUUUUAUUACACAUUUCUUUUAUUUUAAUUUUGCCAUUGCUCCACUACAACAUGGACCUGCGUUGUAUUAGCUAGUAGGUGAGGUAAUGGCUCACCUAGGCGACGAUACAUAGCCGACCUGAGAGGGUGAACGGCAAAAAUGGGAGGGAGACAAGGAACAGAAGAAGAAGGGAGGCAGAAGGAGGGAAACGGGGGAAAUGGGGGGAAAAGAGACCGAGAAAAGCGGAGUGAGUGAAGAAGGUUUUCGGAUCGUAAAGCUCGGUUGUAAGUCAAGAAAGGGUGUGAGAGUGGAAAGAACACAGAGUGACGGUAGCGGAAAAGAAAGGGACGGCUAACUACGUG